rnacentral:rRNA from 1 species
UGAAAGCAUCUAAGCGCCAAGCUCCUCCCAAGACAAGGUUUCCCCACCAGGCUCCUGGAAGACUACCAGGUUGAUAGGCCAGAGGUGUAAGCACAGUAAUGUGUUGAGCUGACUGGUACUAAUGUCCGAUCGGCUUAUCUUA